rnacentral:rRNA from 1 species
CAUUAAUGAAUUGUCGACACGAGCUGUUGCUGGUCCUCAAAUGGGGGGCAUGUGCACGCUCUGUCUGCACAUCCACUCACACCUGUGCACCCCUGUAGUUCUGUGGUUUGGGAGGCCCUGUCUUCCUUCUGUAGUCCUACCUCUUUACACACACGCACAUUGAUGAAGUCUCGUGGAAUGUUUGCAGCGUUUAACGCAAUACAAUACAACUUUCAGCAACGGAUCUCUUGGCUCUCGCAUCGAUGAAGAACGCAGCGAAAUGCGAUAAGUAAUGUGAAUUGCAGAAUUCAGUGAAUCAUCGAAUCUUUGAACGCACCUUGCGCCCUUUGGCUAUUCCGAAGGGCAUGCCUGUUUGAGUAUCAUGAACACCUCAACUCUCAUGGUUUUCUGUGAUGAGCUUGGACUAUGGGGGUUUGUUGGCCUUUGGUCAACUCCUCUCAAAUGAAUCAGCUUGCCGGUGUUUGGUGGCAUCACGGGUGUGAUAACUAUCUACGCUUGUUGUUGUUGACCAGGUACCCUCCGGUUUCGGAGGUCCGCUGGAUCUUAUAAAUGUCUCUCCUCAGUGAAGACAACUAUUUGAAGUUCGAUCUCAAAUCAGGUAGGACUACCCGCUGAACUUAA